GAGAUGCGGGCGAGCAGUCAAUUCUUGGACCUCCGGCUCAACGAUACUUUUCUUUUUUUCCUUCCCGAAUGUCCUUUGUCUAAUUUCUCGGGUGGUUUUGCGCCCGAGCCUGCCCCGGGAUCUGACUUUUUUGGCUCCCAGCGGUCCCUGCGCCCGUCGCAUGCGUAAUGAGGAGCCGAAGAAAUCGCAUGCGUAGAUGUGUACCCGAAAAUGCGCGUGCGAAAUGGUGUGUACGCGGUGCCGCAUGCGUAGUGCGCUGCCGAGACUUGCGCAUGCGUAGUGAUGUGCCCAGACUAGCGCAUGCGUAGUAACUCAUCGAGACUGGCGCAUGCGCAGUGUGGCGCCGAGGCUGGCGCAUGCGUAGCUCUUUCUCGAGACUUGCGCAUGCGUAGUAUUUUCUCAAUACUGGCGGGUCCUGGGAUGCUGCGGUGCCGGGUCCGCUUCACACCCGUAUCACGACCGCGAAUCUCCGAGCUGCUCAGGUUCCACUACUGCUGAGAGUGCUUUUAAACGGCCGGGGAAUGGUGCAGGGCUGGGGCUGGAAGGGGAAGUCUGCUGGUCCACCGCAGCGGCGAGCAAUUUGGAUGGCGCCAGGCGCUCAGGGGCAGCUGUGAGCCGAACCGGUCCGCUCCCGGGAUGGGCUCGGGCAUAAAACGGCGGAAAUAGAUGAGGGGCAUCCUAGUUUAGAAGGAGGACAUCGCUGAGCCGGCGGUCCGAGAAUCGACUGCUUGCCCGCACGCGUAGUGAUUAUUAGAAACAGUUGCUGGUUUUAAGUUGUCGGGCGCAUGCUCGCUAUUACCUGGAGGACUAAUCACAAUAGAGAGCGGCGGAUUAGCUGCACAGAGCGGUUAAAAAGCAACUUCCGCAUUUCUAUGCGCAUGCGUCGUGCUGCCUGCCGGACUAAACAGCAGACAGCUGCAGUUCCGCGCAUUGGCCACGAGGUGGCAGCAGAGACCGGGAAAAGAACUUGGACGUGAUUGAUGCGGCCCGCGGCGCAAUCGCUGGCGAUCUGUUCUCUCUUGUGAUGACGGGGAAAGAACACGAAAUUAGAAGUGGAGGGAAGUGGGGGUGAAGACGGAGAAAACAGAGGGAAACUUCUCCAAAGUCAGGAAAGCUGUGCUAAGUGCCUUACAAAAAAAAAAAAAAAAUUACUUUUUGCCAGCAUCUGUUGCACUGUUUUUAAAUAUUCACAUACCAAAAUUUAACUGCCCAGUAAAUUUAACGAUAACAAAAUCAAAGCACACUGUCAGAAAGCAGAGUGCCAUCUUGGUGUUCACUCAGCCUCUGUCUUGUUCAUACUUUAAUGUAUUUGUUUCCAGGUGCAUUUCUCCAACUCCAAGUUUCAUUUUUUUUUCUUUUUAUUCUUUGUAAUGCCAUGAAAUGGGUACUUUUAGGCCCUAGCAAGUCUAAACAUGCUGACGUUGCACAAAGCUGCAGUUUUGAGAUUCGUGUGGACCAUUACAUUGUUUCCACAAAGAUUAAUGAAAACUGCAAUUUUCAUUAAGCUGUCCACCUCAGUUUACAGCUGGAAAACAAUAAUUCACAUGCACAGAAAGAAUCAAUGUGUCACAGCUACCUCUGGAAGACAGCCUGAGAGUUGUGCAGGUCCAUCAGGCUCAGCUGCAGCUUUUCAUCUGCCCUUCUCUGGCCCUCCUGCAGCUGGAGAGAGAGCACAAGAAGGCACGUGGUCUGCAUGGUUCUUGAGCUCUUCCCACUGCAGGAGCUUAGAAGUGACAACCUGACCCAAAAAGGUAAUGAUAACGUACACACACAAAUAAACACCCAAUACAGAAUCUGGCA